rnacentral:rRNA from 1 species
GAUGAACGCUGGCGGCGUGCCUAAUACAUGCAAGUCGAGCGAACAGAUAAGGAGCUUGCUCCUUUGACGUUAGCGGCGGACGGGUGAGUAACACGUGGGUAACCUACUUAUAAGACUGGGAUAACUUCGGGAAACCGGAGCUAAAACCGGAUAAUAUUUCGAACCGCAUGGUUCGAUAGUGAAAGAUGGUUUUGCUAUCACUUAUAGAUGGACCCGCGCCGUAUUAGCUAGUUGGUAAGGUAACGGCUUACCAAGGCGACGAUGCGUAGCCGACCUGAGAGGGUGAUCGGCCACAUUGGAACUGAGACACGGUCCAGACUCCUACGGGAGGCAGCAGUAGGGAAUCUUCCGCAAUGGGCGAAAGCCUGACGGAGCAACGCCGCGUGAGUGAUGAAGGUCUUCGGAUCGUAAAACUCUGUUAUUAGGGAAGAACAUACGUGUAAGUAACUGUGCGCGUCUUGACGGUACCUAAUCAGAAAGCCACGGCUAACUACGUG